GAUGAACGCUGGCGGCGUGCCUAAUACAUGCAAGCCGAGCGAACGGACGAGAAGCUUGCUUCUCUGAUGUUAGCGGCGGACGGGUGAGUAACACGCGGAUAACCUACCUAUAAGACUGGGAUAACUUCGGGAAACCGUAGCUAAUACCGGAUAAUAUUUUGAACCGCAUGGUUCAAAAGUGAAAGACGGUCUUGCUGUCACUUAUAGAUGGAUCCGCGCUGCAUUAGCUAGUUGGUAAGGUAACGGCUUACCAAGGCAACGAUGCAUAGCCGACCUGAGAGGGUGAUCGGCCACACUGGAACUGAGACACGGUCCAGACUCCUACGGGAGGCAGCAGUAGGGAAUCUUCCGCAAUGGGCGAAAGCCUGACGGAGCAACGCCGCGUGAGUGAUGAAGGUCUUCGGAUCGUAAAACUCUGUUAUUAGGGAAGAACAUAUGUGUAAGUAACUGUGCACAUCUUGACGGUACCUAAUCAGAAAGCCACGGCUAACUACGUG
rnacentral:rRNA from 1 species